UCCUGGCUCAGGAGUGAACGCUGGCGGCGUGCUUAACACAUGCAAGUCGAACGGGCGGAGGGAGCUUGCUCCCGAAGCUAGUGGCGGACGGGUGAGUAACGCGUGGGUAACCUGCCUCAUACAGGGGGAUAACAGUGAGAAAUCACUGCUAAUACCGCAUAAGCGCACAGUUUCGCAUGAGACAGUGUGAAAAACUCCGGUGGUAUACGAUGGAUCCGCGUCUGAUUAGGUAGUUGGUGGGGUAACGGCCCACCAAGCCGACGAUCAGUAGCCGGCCUGAGAGGGUGAACGGCCACAUUGGGACUGAGACACGGCCCAAACUCCUACGGGAGGCAGCAGUGGGGAAUCUUCCGCAAUGGGCGCAAGCCUGACGGAGCAACGCCGCGUGAGUGAAGAAGGUUUUCGGAUCGUAAAGCUCUGUUGAGAGGGACGAGAGACAUAAUCAGGAAAUGGGUUAUGGAGGACGGUACCUUUCGAGGAAGCCACGGCUAACUACGUG
rnacentral:rRNA from 1 species